UAGGGAAUCUUCCACAAUGGACGCAAGUCUGAUGGAGCAACGCCGCGUGAGUGAAGAAGGUUUUCGGAUCGUAAAGCUCUGUUGUUGGUGAAGAAGGAUAGAGGCAGUAACUGGUCUUUAUUUGACGGUAAUCAACCAGAAAGUCACGGCUAACUACGUGCCAGCAGCCGCGGUAAUACGUAGGUGGCAAGCGUUGUCCGGAUUUAUUGGGCGUAAAGCGAGCGCAGGCGGAAUGAUAAGUCUGAUGUGAAAGCUCACGGCUCAACCGUGGAACUGCAUCGGAUACUGUCAUUCUUGAGUGCAGAAGAGGAGAGUGGAAUUCCAUGUGUAGCGGUGGAAUGCGUAGAUAUAUGGAAGAACACCAGUGGCGAAGGCGGCUCUCUGGUCUGCAACUGACGCUGAGGCUCGAAAGCAUGGGUAGCGAACAGG
rnacentral:rRNA from 1 species